AUACUUACCUAGCAGGGGAGAUACCAUGAUCAUGAAGGUGGUUUUCCCAGGGUGAGACUUAUCCAUUGCACUCGGGUGGUGCUAACCCCUGCUGUUUCCCCAAAUGUGGGAAACUCAACUGCAUAAUUUGUGGUGGGGGGAACUGCAUUCACGCUCUCCCCUA
rnacentral:snRNA from 1 species